GACGAACGCUGGCGGCGUGCUUAACACAUGCAAGUCGAACGCUGAAGCUUGGUGCUUGCACUGGGUGGAUGAGUGGCGCACGGGUGAGUAAUAAGUGAGUAACCUGCCCUUGACUCUGGGAUAAGCCUGGGAAACUGGGUCUAAUACUGGAUACGACAUGUCACCGCAUGGUGGUGUGUGGAAAGGGUUUUACUGGUUUUGGAUGGGCUCACGGCCUAUCAGCUUGUUGGUGGGGUAAUGGCUCACCAAGGCGACGACGGGUAGCCGGCCUGAGAGGGUGACCGGCCACACUGGGACUGAGACACGGCCCAGACUCCUACGGGAGGCAGCAGUGGGGAAUAUUGCACAAUGGGCGGAAGCCUGAUGCAGCGACGCCGCGUGAGGGAUGACGGCCUUCGGGUUGUAAACCUCUUUCAGCACGGAAGAAGCGAAAGUGACGGUACGUGCAGAAGAAGCGCCGGCUAACUACGUG
rnacentral:rRNA from 1 species